GGUUAAGCGACUAAGCGUACACGGUGGAUGCCCUGGCAGUCAGAGGCGAUGAAGGGCGUGCUAAUCUGCGAUAAGCGCCGGUAAGGUGAUAUGAACCGUUAUAACCGGCGAUACCCGAAUGGGGAAACCCAGUGUGAUUCGUCACACUAUCAUUAACUGAAUCCAUAGGUUAAUGAGGCGAACCGGGGGAACUGAAACAUCUAAGUACCCCGAGGAAAAGAAAUCAACCGAGAUUCCCCCAGUAGCGGCGAGCGAACGGGGAGGAGCCCAGAGCCUGAAUCAGCAUGUGUGUUAGUGGAAGCGUCUGGAAAGGCGCGCGAUACAGGGUGACAGCCCCGUACACAAAAGCGCAUGUGCUGUGAGCUCGAUGAGUAGGGCGGGACACGUGGUAUCCUGUCUGAAUAUGGGGGGACCAUCCUCCAAGGCUAAAUACUCCUGACUGACCGAUAGUGAACCAGUACCGUGAGGGAAAGGCGAAAAGAACCCCGGCGAGGGGAGUGAAAAAGAACCUGAAACCGUGUACGUACAAGCAGUGGGAGCCCCACCACCAAAGCGUUUCGCUUUGUGUGGUGCACAAAGAAGCGUAACGACAGCACUGAAUGACGGUUAACGGAGCGCAAGCGACGUUCAACAUACAAAGUCAAGCAGUGGAGCGCUUUGGGGUGGGGUGACUGCGUACCUUUUGUAUAAUGGGUCAGCGACUUAUAUUCUGUAGCAAGGUUAACCGAAUAGGGGAGCCGGAGGGAAACCGAGUCUUAAUUGGGCGUUAAGUUGCAGGGUAUAGACCCGAAACCCGGUGAUCUAGCCAUGGGCAGGUUGAAGGUUGGGUAACACUAACUGGAGGACCGAACCGACUAAUGUUGAAAAAUUAGCGGAUGACCUGUGGCUGGGGGUGAAAGGCCAAUCAAACCGGGAGAUAGCUGGUUCUCCCCGAAAGCUAUUUAGGUAGCGCCUCGUGAAUUCAUCUCCGGGGGUAGAGCACUGUUUCGGCUAGGGGGCCAUCCCGGCUUACCAACCCGAUGCAAACUGCGAAUACCGGAGAAUGUUAUCACGGGAGACACACGGCGGGUGCUAACGUCCGUCGUGAAGAGGGAAACAACCCAGACCGCCAGCUAAGGUCCCAAAGUCAUGGUUAAGUGGGAAACGAUGUGGGAAGGCCCAGACAGCCAGGAUGUUGGCUUAGAAGCAGCCAUCAUUUAAAGAAAGCGUAAUAGCUCACUGGUCGAGUCGGCCUGCGCGGAAGAUGUAACGGGGCUAAACCAUGCACCGAAGCUGCGGCAGCGACGCUUAUGCGUUGUUGGGUAGGGGAGCGUUCUGUAAGCCUGUGAAGGUGGCCUGUGAGGGUUGCUGGAGGUAUCAGAAGUGCGAAUGCUGACAUAAGUAACGAUAAAGCGGGUGAAAAGCCCGCUCGCCGGAAGACCAAGGGUUCCUGUCCAACGUUAAUCGGGGCAGGGUGAGUCGACCCCUAAGGCGAGGCCGAAAGGCGUAGUCGAUGGGAAACGGGUUAAUAUUCCCGUACUUGGUGUUACUGCGAAGGGGGGACGGAGAAGGCUAUGUUGGCCGGGCGACGGUUGUCCCGGUUUAAGCGUGUAGGUGUGUGUUCCAGGUAAAUCCGGUU
rnacentral:rRNA from 1 species